rnacentral:rRNA from 1 species
AUUGAACGCUGGCGGCAGGCCUAACACAUGCAAGUCGAACGAGUGGCGGACGGGUGAGUAAUGUCUGGGAAACUGCCUGCUGGAGGGGGAUCAUUACCGGAAACGGUAGCUAAUACCGCAUACCAUCAGAUGUGCCCAGCUGGGAUUAGCUAGUUGGGGGGGUAACGGCUCACCAAGGCCACGAUCCCUAGCUGGUCUGAGAGGAUGACCAGCCACACUGGAACUGAGACACGGUCCAGACUCCUACGUGAGGCAGCAGUGGGGAAUAUUGCACAAUGGGCGCAAGCCUGAUGCAGCCAUGCCGCGUGUAGGAAGAAGGCCGUCGGGUUGUAAAGUACUUUCAGCGGGGAGGCGUUACCCGCUGAAGAAGCACCGGCUAACUCCGUGCCAGCAGCCGCGGUAAUUC